rnacentral:lncRNA from 1 species
AAAAAGGAGAACAUAGUAAUCACCUGAAGUUCAGCAUUCAUUUGCACUUCCCGAGAUCUCUUGCAUAUACUUUAUGACCAAUUCGAUCAUCAUUGGUGAUUAGCUAUUUAAGCAAUAAACAUGUACUUGCCUUUCAGCCAUGAGAAAAAUAUAUACUGGUUCCUCUCAUAGUUUAUGGAUCGGUAUCUGCAACAGAAUCCAUGCAUGUAUAUCCUUGGACAAACGACUAAAAACCUUCGAGCAUAAGUUUACCACACACAUAUAAUCUAUACACCACAAAACCAUGAACACACUUUUUUUCAAAAUUUUUAAUGUUUCACAUGUACUUAAUAUUCUAACAAACUGCCAGAAUAAUUCUAAAACAAAUUAAAUAGCUGUAUAUAUGCUUGUCACAAUAAUGUCAUACUCCGACCCUAUCAUGUUUAGGAUCCUGUAAGUGCAACAUUAAUUUCUUAUCGCAAAAAUGCUUUGCUUCAAACCUCAAUCUAGCUAGUGCCAUACUUUAAUUUGGCUAUACGCUUCUUGAAAAGGAAAAAUAGGUCAGUAGCUAUACGCUUCUUGAGGAGAAACCUUUUCGUUGGGCCA